UCUGUAAUGCCUGUUUAACGUCAGAUAAAAUCACAAUUAACUAAUGGUGGAAAAUGUAGCACUUAGUCCCAAUAGUGUUAAUGGGUUUAGACACCUGUUCUGGUUGCUAUAGUGAUCACUUCCUGUGUCACCCCCGACUCUUGGUUAUGGGACUGGGGUGUCCCGUCAGGAUAUCGAGUUAUUUAAUUUUUUUGUUUAAUAGAUGGUUCCUUAUUUUUCUGAAUGGAGGGUAGCGCCAUAUCGCUUUUUUUAUUCGUCAUGUUCCAGGUUUGAAAGAAAGACAUUUAAAUUCCAUGUUUGUCUGUGGUUUUGUAAGGAUGAUGAAGCACAAAUUUGUGACAACAGUUAUGUUUCUCCAACUUCGAGAGUUCAUCAGCAUCAUAUCCUCACUAUUACAUUCACUUGUAUCA